AACGAACGCUGGCGGCAUGCCUAACACAUGCAAAUCGAACGAGACCUUCGGGUCUAGUGGCGCACGGGUGCGUAACGCGUGGGAACCUGCCCUUAGGUUCGGAAUAACUCCCCGAGAGGGGUGCUAAUACCGGAUAAUGUCUUCGGACCAAAGAUUUAUCGCCUUGGGAUGGGCCCGCGUUGGAUUGGCUAGUUGGUAGGGUAAAAGCCUACCAAGGCGACGAUGCAUAGCUGGUCUGAGAGGAUGAUCAGCCACACUGGGACUGAGACACGGCCCAGACUCCUACGGGAGGCAGCAGUAGGGAAUAUUGGACAAGGGGCGAAAGCCUGAUCCAGCAAUGCCGCGGGAGUGAUGAAGGCCUUAGGGUUGUAAAGCUCUUUUACCCGAGAUGAUAAUGACAGUACCGGGAGAAUAAGCUCCGGCUAACUCCGUG
rnacentral:rRNA from 1 species